GUGGGGAAUAUUGGACAAUGGGCGAAAGCCUGAUCCAGCCAUGCCGCGUGUGUGAAGAAGGUCUUCGGAUUGUAAAGCACUUUAAGUUGGGAGGAAGGGCAGUAAGUUAAUACCUUGCUGUUUUGACGUUACCGACAGAAUAAGCACCGGCUAACUUCGUGCCAGCAGCCGCGGUAAUACGAAGGGUGCAAGCGUUAAUCGGAAUUACUGGGCGUAAAGCGCGCGUAGGUGGUUUUGUAAGUUGGAGGUGAAAUCCCCGGGCUCAACCUGGGAACUGCCUCCAAAAAUACUGAGCUAGAGUACGGUAGAGGGUAGUGGAAUUUCCUGUGUAGCGGUGAAAUGCGUAGAUAUAGGAAGGAACACCAGUGGCGAAGGCGACUACCUGGACUGAUACUGACACUGAGGUGCGAAAGCGUGGGGAGCAAACAGGAUUAGAUACCCGAGUAGUCC
rnacentral:rRNA from 1 species